AUGAAACUCUGGCUGACAAACAUCCUGAUUCUGACUCUCUGGAGAGAGUGUAAAGGAGAAGACAAAGUGACCCAGCCAGGAGGAGACGUCACUGCUGCUGUAGGAGACACAGUUACACUGGACUGUACUUUUGAGACCGAUUACACAGGUCCCACUUUGUUCUGGUACAAACAAGAAGUAAAUUCAUCCCCACAGUACAUGCUGAAAUGCUACUCAGCCAAUGUAGAUAAAGCUCCAGAGUUCCAGGAAGACAGAUUUAAUGCUACGAUGAACAAGCCAUCAGCUCCUCUGACGAUCCAGAAGCUUCAGCUGAAUGACUCUGCUGUGUACUACUGUGCUUUGCGGCCCACAGUGACAGGAAACACCAGGACUCUGUACAAAAACCUCCAGAGCAAACACAACACAAUGCUCCACAACAUCCACUAG